rnacentral:misc_RNA from 1 species
CAGCAAUGCAUGCGUGUACAAUCAAGAGACAACAGCUAAAGCAUGCUAAAAUGGGUCGAUUUUAGCAGUGCAAAAAACGAUACAAAUAAAGUUUUUCAAACUCAAACCACCAACCAAGAAGAACUCAUAUGAAAUACCAAGGCAACUUCAGAAAUAUUAACCUUUAAGCAUGGUACAAAUACAGCAUGAUCAAGUAAAAAACGACUGAGACAUACCUGAAACGCUUUGGUGAGGUUGG